rnacentral:rRNA from 1 species
CCUAGGUGGCAGCAGUGAGGAAUAUUGGUCAAUGGGCGAGAGCCUGAACCAGCCAAGUCGCGUGAGGGAGUACUGCCCUAUGGGUUGUAAACCUCUUUUGUCGGGGAGCAAAAGCCGGACGUGUCCGGCUGUGAGAGUACCCGAAGAAAAAGCAUCGGCUAACUCCGUGCCAGCAGCCGCGGUAAUACGGAGGAUGCGAGGGUUAUCGGGAUUUAUUGGGUUUAAAGGGUGGGCAGGCGGAUUGUUAAGUCAGCGGGAAAGUUGUGGGGCUAAACCCCAUCCAGCCGUUGAAACUGGGGUUCUAGAGUGUGCUAGAGGUAUGCGGAAUGCGUGGUGUAGCGGUGAAAUGCAUAGAUAUCACGAAGAACCCCGAUUGCGAAGGCAGCAUACCGGUGCACAACUGACGCUCAGGCACGAAAGCGUGGGUAUCGAACAGGAUUAGAUACCCGAGUAGUC